GUCACUCGUCGCCUUUCAGGUUAUGAUGUGGAUUUCAGAAGCUAUUUCUCUUUGCUUGGUGCUUUUUCUGCAGCUUGGGCAAGUUGACUUCAAGGGACCCUUCUCAAGAGGGCCCAGCCUGCCCUUCAAGAAGCUUUGGGCCUAGGAUCUCGCAAGAGGCUCUAACUUUCUGUAAGGCCAUUCAUCAGGCUGCUUGCUGCCAGACCAAGAGUGUUUCCAGCUAUAUAGGUACAGUAAUUCUUUAAUAGGCUGUGGGCCUGUUUCAUUCCUAGGGAGGCUGUGAUCAAUUAGCUAUUGCCAAAAGUCCCAUACAGUCAAAACAUUCUGAUAGCCACUUCCUCUCAGUUUCCCAGGAUGGUGAUGACACCAACCUUGCUUCUGGUGAUUAAGUUCUACCACCUGGCCUCUGUUACUUCCACAUCCCAUUAAUUCCGUUAAAAUAAUGAAGCCAUUAAAAUAGCA
rnacentral:lncRNA from 1 species